GUGGUGUCAUCUGCCAUGCAGUGGUAGCUUUGCUGGGGCCUCUGCAUGUUCCUGCAUGCCUUUGUUCAGCCUGGUGUCAAACAGCCCAAUGAGUUGUGAGCAUCCUCUGUCCUCCUGAAAGCAAAUUCUACCCUGAUAAACACUGCAAGGAAGAACUCUUGGAAAUGCAGCGUGACUUAGAUGCUGUCCCUUCCCAAGGGAAGUGAGUGCCUGUUUCUUAGACAACGAGGGUAAGAAAUCCUCCUGCUUGCUUCUGUCUUGCUGGAGUGGGCCCUUUUCAUUCCACGCUGCCAGUUCCCUAUGAUUGAAAUUUGAAAGCAUGUAGCUGUUAAUCUGGGAAUGAUUAAAGAGCCUCAUUUCUUGGAAGAGUCAGUACUCAUCAUCUGCCGUGCUGAAUGAGCCUCUAACAUCCCCUGAUCCCAUUAUAUUGUGAUUAAUUGUGCCAGUUUAAGUCAAUAAUUCAUUUGUUAAAAAUAGGCCUGCAAAGUAUCAUUUGUCUCAGGGGAGAUAUGAGAAUAAAAAAAAAUUCAUUUGAUACUUCUCAUUAAA